rnacentral:tRNA from 3 species
GGCCUAAUAGUUCACUGGUAGAAUUCUUGAAUUGGGAAUAUAAGAGAUCUCCGGUUCGAUCCCGGAUUAGGCCC